UGGCGAUGAAGCAUGCAAGUCGAGCGGGCUUAUUCGGGCAACUGGAUAAGUUAGCGGCGAACUGGUGAGUAACACGUAGGUAAUCUGCCGUGAAGUGGGGGAUAACCCAUGGAAACAUGGACUAAUACCGCAUAUACUCUUGCUACAUAAGUAGAGUAGAGGAAAGUUUUUUCGCUUCACGAUGAGCCUGCGGCCUAUUAGCCUGUUGGUAGGGUAAUGGCCUACCAAAGCUACGAUAGGUAGCCGACCUGAGAGGGUGACCGGCCACAUUGGGACUGAGAUACGGCCCAGACUCCUACGGGAGGCAGCAGCUGAGAAUCUUCCACAAUGGACGAAAGUCUGAUGGAGCGACAUCGCGUGAGGGAUGAAGGCCUUCGGGUUGUAAACCUCGGAAAUUAUCGAAGAAUGAGUGACAGUAGAUAAUGUAAGCCUCGGCUAUACGCC
rnacentral:rRNA from 1 species